rnacentral:tRNA from 2 species
GCCCUCUUAGCUCAGCUGGUAGAGCACCUCCAUGGUAAGGAGGGGGUCGACGGUUCGAGUCCGUCAGAGGGCU